GACAGAGGAGCCAAGCGUUGUCCGGAUUGACUGGGCGUAAAGCGCACGCAGGCGGAGAGGCGCGUGGGGUGUGAAAGCUGGUGGCUUAACUGCCAGUCGCCAUCCCAUACGGCCACUCUGGAGCCUUGCAGAGGGCAGUGGAAUUGCCGGUGUAGUGGUGAAAUGCGUAGAUAUCCGGAGGAACACCGAUGGCGAAGGCGGCUCUCUGGAACGCAACUGACGCUGAGACGCGAAAGCGUGGGGAGCAAACAGG
rnacentral:rRNA from 1 species